ACUCUCUUUCAGCACCAGUGAAGCAAAUUACGACAGCUAUGCUUAGGAGUGCACGAAAGAAACCGGCUUGAGAGAGGGAGAAAAGGGAUGGGAAAGGCAGGCAGGUUAACCCGAAGAGAAGCUUCUGCUUUGCUACCCUACACUUGGGGUUGGGACAGGGGGAAAGAAGGCUUGGCAAAGGCUGGCACCCCACUGACAACGCAGCCGGUGGAAGCGGACGAUAAUAAACUUGCAUACAAAGAAAUUAUAUGCAGUGACAUUUCUGCCACCGCCGUUCACGUUGAAUAUGAAAGCCCUGCCGCGGCCUGGAAGUGAUCACCCUGCACCGGGGUCCCAAUGAGUGCCGCAAAUGGUUUAUCACGAAGGUUCGUUCGUUGUCACCACGAAGGCGGCCUCUCUUGCUUCGAACCGAUUGAAAGAACUGUCCGGCUUCCGGGGCGCAGGGUCCUCGAGCACGUUCCGAGGCCAUGGCUCUACGAUACAACGACGCAGGUGAAGGAACGACGCGAGAGGGCGUCCCGUCGACGCCGCGGCAGGACAGAUGGGGACGACGACGACGAAGAAGGGUCGCCGGCGCUCGCGAUGGCGCGGAUUCGAGCACGCGCUCGACGCUGUCCUCUGCGAAGCUAGGGGCGCCCCUGCGUGGUUUCGUCCCGAGAAAGCCGCCGGUCUCCGUUCGCAACGACGUGGGCGCGGGGCACGCCACGUGCUCCACCCGAGGGACCGAAGGCCGUCGCGCCGCGGCCGGCCACGGCGCCGUUCCUGGAACCGUCGCUCGGGAACACAGGCCAGUCUUCUUCCAGCCAGCGGCAGCGGCGACGUGCAUGUCGGAGCGGGAUCGGACGUCCGCUGAGCUCAACUCCGCAGUCGCCGCGGUCUUCUAGCAGGCGGCCGAGACUUCCAGCACCCGGGGCUAGCCACACGCUGUGGUCCGAGGACCGCAGCACCGCUGCGGGGGUCGCUCGCCUUCCUCUCUUCUUCUGAGUCGAGCCGCCGACCUCGCAGGUCGGCGCGCGCUAGCGAACCGGCCCAGCCAUGACGGAGAUGUCGGCCAUGUCGGGGAUGUCGGGGAUGUCGGAGAUGUCCGGGGUGGACACCGGCGCAGGGGCAGCCGGGGCCGGAGGCGGGAUGGACCCGGAGAAGAAGAAGAAGAUCAUAAUCGCCGCCGUCGUCGUUGUGAUCGUCGUCGUCCUGCUGAUCGCGGUGGCGCUCUUCGUCGUCCUGGUACUCCUCAAGGAGGAGGUCAAGGACCGCACCGAGCCCACCGACCCCUGGUGGUGACCCCACGGCUGCUGGCUUCGCGAUGCGCCAUCUUGGAAGAGCUGCUCCUCCGGCUUUUGACACCACUGACCAUCAUCCCCCGAGGGCCGCUUCGGUCACCGACCAGCGUGUUGUCGUCUCAAACUGCGUUUUAGCUGUGACUCCUCUCUCUCUUUUUUUUUUUUUUUUCACGAUGGGUCCGCGAGAAGUGACGUAACGGCCCUCCCUGUUCACCUCGCGCCUCCUUAAGUGAUGGCUGGAUAGAUGAGGGUAAUAAACCAGAGGCCGGCGAGACCAGUGACAUCUGUGGGGACAUGAUGACUAUCGGUGCGCGCAUGGCGCCAUGUUAACAUCGUGACUGCCGCCACCGGCUCCAUUUUUGUGUCUGUGUGUUCGAUGCGUCUGUAAAUAAAGAACGACUGAAGCGAGA
rnacentral:lncRNA from 1 species